UCCUACGGGAGGCAGCAGUGGGGAAUAUUGCACAAUGGGCGCAAGCCUGAUGCAGCCAUGCCGCGUGUAUGAAGAAGGCCUUCGGGUUGUAAAGUACUUUCAGCAGUGAGGAAGGCGGGUACGUUAAUAGCGUGCUCGUUUGACGUUAGCUGCAGAAGAAGCACCGGCUAACUCCGUGCCAGCAGCCGCGGUAAUACGGAGGGUGCGAGCGUUAAUCGGAAUUACUGGGCGUAAAGCGCAUGCAGGUGGUUUGUUAAGUCAGAUGUGAAAGCCCGGGGCUCAACCUCGGAAUUGCAUUUGAAACUGGCAGACUAGAGUACUGUAGAGGGGGUAGAAUUUCAGGUGUAGCGGUGAAAAUGCGUAGAGAUCUGAAGGAAUACCGGUGGCGAAGGCGGCCCCCUGGACAGAUACUGACACUCAGAUGCGAAAGCGUGGGGAGCAAACAGGAUUAGAUACCCUGGUAG
rnacentral:rRNA from 1 species